UACGGGGGGGGCAAGCGUUGUUCGGAAUUACUGGGCGUAAAGGGCUCGUAGGCGGCCAACUAAGUCGGAUGUGAAAUCCCCAGGCUUAACCUGGGAACUGCAUCCGAUACUGGAUGGCUUGAAUCCGGGAGAGGGAUGCAGAAUUCCAGGUGUAGCGGUGAAAUGCGUAGAUAUCUGGAGGAACACCGGUGGCGAAGGCGGCAUCCUGGACCAACACUGACGCUGAGGGAGCGAAAGCCAGGGGAGCAAACGGG
rnacentral:rRNA from 1 species